ACAUAUGUGUAUGUGUCGUGUGAUGUGACAGCUGGCAUCGGUUGCGCGAGAUAUACCGAUAAAUUUAAAAUAUUCGAGAAGAUAUGAUGGGAUUAGCUAUUGGUGCUCAUGGUGCAAAUAUAUUCAACAAGCGUGAAAAGUUGAUAACAUUACAAAUAUCGUUAGAAGAAAAUUCAUGCACAUUUAAGAUAUAAUAUAGAGAGACGCAUGAAGCUGUUAAAAUUUAUGCUGGAAUGCAGCAAUAACCUAGAAAUAAAUAGAUAGUGACAGUCGUGACCAUCGCCGCGUGAUAGAUAUAGUGAGAUAUAGUGAAAUAUAUAUUGA